rnacentral:rRNA from 1 species
GAGUUUGAUCAUGGCUCAGGACGAACGCUGGCGGCGUGCUUAACACAUGCAAGUCGAACGAUGACCUCGGAGCUUGCUCCGGGUGAUUAGUGGCGAACGGGUGAGUAACACGUGAGUAACCUGCCCCAGACUCUGGGAUAAGCCUUGGAAACGAGGUCUAAUACCGGAUACGAAACAGGAUCGCAUGAUCACUGUUUGGAAAGUUUUUCGGUCUGGGAUGGACUCGCGGCCUAUCAGCUUGUUGGCGGGGUAACGGCCCACCAAGGCGACGACGGGUAGCCGGCCUGAGAGGGCGACCGGCCACACUGGAACUGAGACACGGUCCAGACUCCUACGGGAGGCAGCAGUGGGGAAUAUUGCACAAUGGGCGAAAGCCGGAUGCAGCGACGCCGCGUGGGGGAUGAAGGCCUUCGGGUUGUAAACCCCUUUUAGCAGGGAAGAAGCGAAAGUGACGGUACCUGCAGAAAAAGCGCCGGCUAACUACGUGCCAGCAGCCGCGGUAAUACGUAGGGCGCAAGCGUUGUCCGGAAUUAUUGGGCGUAAAGAGCUCGUAGGCGGUUUGUCGCGUCUGCUGUGAAAUCCCGAGGCUCAACCUCGGGCCUGCAGUGGGUACGGGCAAACUAGAGUGUGGUAGGGGAGACUGGAAUUCCUGGUGUAGCGGUGGAAUGCGCAGAUAUCAGGAGGAACACCAAUGGCGAAGGCAGGUCUCCGGGCCACUACUGACGCUGAGGAGCGAAAGCGUGGGGAGCGAACAGGAUUAGAUACCCUGGUAGUCCACGCCGUAAACGGUGGGCGCUAGGUGUGGGUUUCCUUCCACGGGAUCCGUGCCGUAGCUAACGCAUUAAGCGCCCCGCCUGGGGAGUACGGCCGCAAGGCUAAAACUCAAAGGAAUUGACGGGGGCCCGCACAAGCGGCGGAGCAUGCGGAUUAAUUCGAUGCAACGCGAAGAACCUUACCAAGGCUUGACAUAUAGGAUCCAUCCCUAGAGAUAGGGAGUGCUUCGGCGUCCUAUACAGGUGGUGCAUGGUUGUCGUCAGCUCGUGUCGUGAGAUGUUGGGUUAAGUCCCGCAACGAGCGCAACCCUCGUCCUAUGUUGUCAGCAUUUAGUUGGGGACUCAUAGGAGACUGCCGGGGUCAACUCGGAGGAAGGUGGGGAUGACGUCAAAUCAGCAUGCCCCUUAUGUCUUGGGCUUCACGCAUGCUACAAUGGCCGGUACAAAGGGCUGCAAUACCGUAAGGUGGAGCGAAUCCCAAAAAGCCGGUCUCAGUUCGGAUUGAGGUCUGCAACUCGACCUCAUGAAGUUGGAGUCGCUAGUAAUCGCAGAUCAGCAACGCUGCGGUGAAUACGUUCCCGGGCCUUGUACACACCGCCCGUCAAGUCACGAAAGUCGGUAACACCCGAAGCCGUCGGCCCAACCCUUUGGGAGGGAGACGUCUAAGGUGGGAUUGGCGAUUGGGACUAAGCCGUAACAAGGUAGCCGUACCGGAAGGUGCGGUUGGAUCACCUCC